AUUGAACGCUGGCGGCAUGCCUUACACAUGCAAGUCGAACGGCAGCACGGGAGCAAUCCUGGUGGCGAGUGGCGAACGGGUGAGUAAUAUAUCGGAACGUGCCCAGUCGUGGGGGAUAACGCAGCGAAAGCUGUGCUAAUACCGCAUACGAUCUAUGGAUGAAAGCGGGGGAUCGCAAGACCUCGCGCGAUUGGAGCGGCCGAUAUCAGAUUAGCUAGUUGGUGGGGUAAAGGCCCACCAAGGCGACGAUCUGUAGCUGGUCUGAGAGGACGACCAGCCACACUGGAACUGAGACACGGUCCGGACUCCUACGGGAGGCAGCAGUGGGGAAUUUUGGACAAUGGGCGAAAGCCUGAUCCAGCAAUGCCGCGUGCAGGACGAAGGCCUUCGGGUUGUAAACUGCUUUUGUACGGAACGAAACGGCUCUCUCUAAUACAGGGGGCUAAUGACGGUACCGUAAGAAUAAGCACCGGCUAACUACGUGCCAGCAGCCGCCGUAA
rnacentral:rRNA from 1 species